rnacentral:tRNA from 1 species
GGAGAGAUGGCUGAGUGGACGAAAGCGCCCGCCUGCUAAGUGGGUAACGGGCUAUAAACCUGUUCUCGGGUUCGAAUCCCGAUCUCUCCGCCA